GCCAGGCAUGGUGGUGUAUGCCUGUAAUCCCAGCUACUCGGGAGGCUGAGGCAGGGGAAUCGCUUGAACCCAGGAGAGGGAGAUUGCAGUGAGCCAAGAUCAUGCCACUGCACUCCAGCCUCGAGACUCCGUCUCAAACAAACAAACAAACAAAAACAACCUGAUCCCAGUGAGAUGGUACAAGAACUUGCAAAGUAAAAUACACCUGGGGUAUAGUGUCUUCUGAGAGGGUGGUUAUUGAGUCUCCCUCUAUUGCCCAGGCUGGAGUGCAGUGGCGUGGUCUCGGCUCACUGCAACCUCUGCCUUCUGGGUUCAAGAGAUUCUGCUGCCU
rnacentral:SRP_RNA from 1 species